rnacentral:lncRNA from 10 species
CAGGAACUGGAUGUGGGUGUCAAGGUGGUCACAGAACAGACGGCUGGGUCAGCUCCCCAAGGAGAAGCCCUGAGCUGCCCAACAGGUCCCUCUUAGGCCCCACACUUCAGAGGCAGGGCUGCCACGCAUGCCUCCUGGAUCACCUCUUGGUGUCCCAUGGCCCCUGUGGGGCUCCUACCUGGCACAUCCUCACCUCCAGGCUCCCCCGGCUCCAACUCAGCAGGGAGGUGGGAGGUUGACGGGAGCAGGCAGGCAUGGGAGGGCUCAGCCGGGGUAUGAGGGGUGGGCAGAGUCCCCCCACCUGGCUCACCCUUUCUCUUCCUCUCCUCCUCUGGGCACCUUCUUUGACUCCCACAGGCUCCUAGCUCAGACCUCUCCACUCUUCCUGGCUUUCCUUCAGGGAGGUCAGGAAAGUCAGGGACCCGUGGAUAAAGACCAGGAGAACACAAUGAGCAGAAAAGCGUAGGCGAGCAGCUGGCAGCCACCAUCGCAUUUGCUCCCGGAAGGCAAGAGGAGGCAGAGAAAAUUCCAGAACCCAUUUAAGCGUCUGGGACCCUGAGUCUAGAACCUGGAGAUUUGGUCUUCUGGAAACGACAUCAGAGAGAGACUGCCCUUGAACCCCAUUGGAAGAGACCCUACCAAGUUCUUCUCACCACCCACACGGCAGUAAAACUUCAAGGCCUCAAACUUUGGAUUCACAUCUCAUAAGUCAAAAGGGCCCCUCCAGGCUCCUGGAACCGUAUACGUGUUGGAGACCUCAACGGAAAGCUGACAAGGGAGGUUUUUCUUCAGAUGCAGGUGGGAUCCUGGAUGUGGGCGGCUUUCCCAAGGUCACAAAUCCAGACUUCUCUGUCUUCACGAAAGCCUUUUAUUUUUUCCUUUUUUUAUUUCCUGUUGUCUUAGUCCCUUCCCUUUCCUUACAGGAGAAUCCACUGGACCAUAAUCUGUGGAUGGCUUUAGUACAGGCUUAUGCUCUAGCAAGAAACCAGAUAAAUUGUUGAGUCUGUGGGCUAAUGCCCCCCAAAUGAGGAAACAAUUCCACUGAUGCCAGUGCCUCUCCAUAUUCCGAAUAAGUCACCCUGGGCCGGGUGCGGUGGCUCACGCCUGUAACCCAAGCACUUUGGGAGGCCAAGGCGGGUGGAUCAUCUGAGGUCAGGAGUUUGAGACUAGCCUGGGGAACAUGGUAAAACCCCGUCUCUAUUAAAAAUACAAAAAUUAGCCAGGCAUGGUGGUGUGUGCCUGCAGUCCCAGCUACUCAGGAGGCUGAGGCAGGAGAAUUGCUCGAACCCAGGAGGCGGAGGUU